CCAGACUCCUACGGGAGGCAGCAGUGGGGAAUAUUGCACAAUGGGCGGAAGCCUGAUGCAGCAACGCCGCGUGCGGGAUGACGGCCUUCGGGUUGUAAACCGCUUUCGCCUGUGACGAAGCGUGAGUGACGGUAAUGGGUAAAGAAGCACCGGCUAACUACGUGCCAGCAGCCGCGGUGAUACGUAGGGUGCGAGCGUUGUCCGGAUUUAUUGGGCGUAAAGGGCUCGUAGGUGGUUGAUCGCGUCGGAAGUGUAAUCUUGGGGCUUAACCCUGAGCGUGCUUUCGAUACGGGUUGACUUGAGGAAGGUAGGGGAGAAUGGAAUUCCUGGUGGAGCGGUGGAAUGCGCAGAUAUCAGGAGGAAUACCAGUGGCGAAGGCGGUUCUCUGGGCCUUUCCUGACGCUGAGGAGCGAAAGCGUGGGGAGCGAACAGGCUUAGAUACCCUGGUAGUCCACGCUGUAAACGGUGGGUACUAGGUGUGGGGUCCAUUCCACGGGUUCCGUGCCGUAGCUAACGCUUUAAGUACCCCGCCUGGGGAGUACGGCCGCAAGGCUAAAACUCAAAGGAAUUGACGGGGGCCCGCACAAGAGGGCGAAUUCC
rnacentral:rRNA from 1 species